AUACGGAGGUGCAAGCGUUAAUCGGAAUUACUGGGCGUAAAGCGCGCGUAGGCGGUUUGGUAAGUCGGAUGUGAAAGCCCCGGGCUCAACCUGGGAAUUGCAUUCGAUACUGCCGAACUAGAGUAUGGUAGAGGGAAGUGGAAUUUCCGGUGUAGCGGUGAAAUGCGUAGAUAUCGGAAGGAACACCAGUGGCGAAGGCGACUUCCUGGGCCAAUACUGACGCUGAGGUGCGAAAGCGUGGGGAGCAAACAGGAUUAGAAACCCCAGUAGUCC
rnacentral:rRNA from 1 species